rnacentral:rRNA from 1 species
UACGGGGGGGGCAAGCGUUGUUCGGAAUUACUGGGCGUAAAGGGCUCGUAGGCGGCCAACUAAGUCGGAUGUGAAAUCCCCAGGCUUAACCUGGGAACUGCAUCCGAUACUGGAUGGCUUGAAUUCGGGAGAGGGAUGCAGAAUUCCCGGUGUAGCGGUGAAAUGCGUAGAUAUCGAGAGGAACACCUGCGGCGAAGGCGGGUUGCUGGGCCGACACUGACGCUGAUGCGCGAAAGCCAGGGGAGCGAACGGG